UAGGGAAUCUUCGGCAAUGGGGGGAACCCUGACCGAGCAACGCCGCGUGAGUGAAGAAGGUUUUCGGAUCGUAAAGCUCUGUUGUUAAGGAAGAACGAGUGUGAGAAUGGAAAGUUCAUACUGUGACGGUACUUAACAAGAAAGGGACGGCUAACUACGUGCCAGCAGCCGCGGUAAUUCGUAGGUCUCGAGCGUUGUCCGGGUUUAUUGGGCGUAAAGCGAGCGCAGGCGGUUAGAUAAGUCUGAAGUUAAAGCCAGUGGCUCAAUCAUUGUAGGCUUUGGAAACUGUUUAACUGGAGUGCAGAAGGAGAGAGUGAAAUUCCAUGUGUAGCGGUGAAAUGCGUAGAUAUAUGGAGGAACUCCGGUGGCGAAAGCGGCUCUCUGGUCUGUGACUGACGCUGAGGCUCGAAAGCGUGGGGAGCGAACAGU
rnacentral:rRNA from 1 species